CGGUGUAAGGGCGGUUGGUCAAGUCGGGUGUGAAAGCCUGGGGCUCAGCCCCAGAAGUGCAUCCGAAACUAGCCAGCUAGAGCGCGAUAGAGGAGGGUGGAAUUCCUGGUGUAGCGGUGAAAUGCGUAGAUAUCAGGAGGAACACCGGCGGCGAAGGCGGCCCUCUGGAUCGUUGCUGACGCUGAGACGCGAAAGCGUGGGGAGCAAACAGGAUUAGAUACCCUGGUAGUCCACGCCUUAAACGAUGGGUACUAGGUGUUCGGGGUGUUGACCCCCUGAGUGCCGCAGUUAACGCAUUAAGUACCCCGCCUGGGGACUACGGCCGCAAGGUUAAA
rnacentral:rRNA from 1 species